UACGAAGGGGGCUAGCGUUGCUCGGAAUCACUGGGCGUAAAGCGCACGUAGGCGGACUCUUAAGUCAGGGGUGAAAUCCUGGAGCUCAACUCCAGAACUGCCUUUGAUACUGGGAGUCUUGAGUUCGGGAGAGGUGAGUGGAACUGCGAGUGUAGAGGUGAAAUUCGUAGAUAUUCGCAAGAACACCAGUGGCGAAGGCGGCUCACUGGCCCGAUACUGACGCUGAGGUGCGAACGCGUGGGGAGCAAACAGG
rnacentral:rRNA from 1 species